AUGGCGGAGGCAAAGAAGAAGGAAGACGACGAGCCUGGGGUGACAGCCGGCGGCGAGGGCGGUGCUCACUCCGAGGUCAACAAGUGGCUAGGCAGCGCAAGUUUCCCGACCCAGCGCUCGCCUGGGCCACCUACGCAGGAGGUCCAGAUCUCGUCGGUGUUCCGUGCGGCCAGGGCAGUGGCCAAAUGCAUCCACGCGGAUCCAGAAGGCGGGCACCAGUGGGCCUCCUCACUUGGUGGCGUGGAUUUGGAUGAUGAAGUAUGGGAAUUGAGGCUGCAUUUUCAGGGUAGAGAUAACAUGGAAAGGAAGUUUUCCUUAUCAGAAAUGAAUUACCUGUUAUUGUUAGCACUGAUUGAACUUGAGGGCUAUGGGUUGGAUGCCUAUCUGUCAUAUGUUAAGGAUGAGGGUAAGGGGCUGGAGGGGGUUGAGGUUUUGGACAGUGAUGAGAAGGUGGAGGAGAUGCUUGAUUUGUUUGCUGAGAAGAAAGUAUUGAACAUAACAGUGAGAGAGGCUAGUGACCCAAAUCCAGCAGAUGCAAACAUGGACCACACCUUGCUUGAAGAGCAGAUUCCAAUGAGUCAAGUUGAUGAUCCCAGUGUUUAUAGUGUUUCCCAAGAAGGUGUUCUUUUUCCUGUCUCAAAGUCUUCACAGCCUCCAGUUGUGCCUGUUCAAGCAUAUCUUAACACACAGCAGAGCUGUAAUUUCAACAAGGAAAAAGAGGCAGUGGAAAUUGAAAAUAUUCAAGCAGAAGAUGAAGAUACAGAUGAGUUGGAUAAAUCCUCUUCAGAUUUUGAGUUUUUCAGGGGUGGUUACAGAGGGAAGAAUAUUUCAUACAAGUCUUGGGCUAGGGGAGAAGAUGAAGGUGGUGAAGGAACAAGUCAGCACUACAGGGAAGAGGAAGAGAUGGCUGAGCAUUAUUUUGGGGCUGCUUCUGAACCAUCAGAGUUUUGGCAGGAGCAAAUUAGUUCUGAAGAAGAUGAUGAAGAAGAAGCUUCAGAUCAUGUGAAAAGUGAUGAAGGCAUUUCUAAUGAAGAAGAUGAUGCACCUAGGUUGCCUUGUGGCAAGAAGAGAAAAUUGAAGAAGAAGAAGGAGAGAAUAUGAGAAGCAUUGAGAAACUACCAUGUUAGGACACUGAGGAACUUCGAGUGCCAUAGGAAUGGUCCAAGUAAGAUCAUAGCCUGGUGCUCAGAUAGAAAGCAUGGUUGUGAGUUUUAUAUUACUGCUUCUAAGAUUGCCCAUGAGUCAACCUUUAGCAUCAAGAAGAUGAAUCUUGAUCACACCUGUGGAGCAAGUGGAGAGAACACAAAGGGUCUGCUCAAUGCAAUAGAGGAUGUAUUUCCUGAUUCCCCUCAAAGAUUUUGUUUAAGACACAUAUAUGCCAACUUCCAGUCAGCUGGGUUUAGAGGGGAUGAAUUGAAAAAACAUCUAGACCAGGCUGCAUAUUCUUUCACUAAGCAUGGGCAUGAUCUGGGCAUGGAAGCAUUGAAGAAAGAGAGUGAGGAGGCAUGGAAGUGGUUGUCCAACAUACCAGUCCAUACUUGGGCCAGGCAUAGAAUGGAUACUAUAUGCAAGAUAGACCUUGUUGUAAACAAUCUUAGUGAAGUUUUCAACAGGAUGAUUCUGGAUGUUAGGAACAAGCCCAUAAGGAGAAUGCUUGAAGGAAUAAGGACAAAACUCAUGAUCAAAUUUCAGAAGAUUCGGGAGAAGACACAGACAUGUAGGUGGGAUAUCACACCCACAUACUCUGAGAUAUUGGAGGAGGCCAAGAAAUGGGCAAAAUAUUGUGAUGCAUAUAUGGCUGGACCAGGCAUUUGGCAAGUUACAAGUAGUUCAGAAAAGACCUACUGUGUAAACGUGAACAACUACACUUGUGACUGCAGGAGGUGGGAUAUGACAGUUGUUCCAUGUAGUCAUGCUGUAGCAGCAAUGCAGAAGGUGAAACUACACCCUGAAGAUUUUGUACAUGAGUUCUUCAAGAAGCCCCUCUACUGUGAAACCUACAAGCAUAUUAUAUACCCUGUUCCUGGCCCUGAUUGUUGGCCACACACCAUGGGGGAUGACAUAUCUCCUCCAGUAUUCAAAGAAAAGAAGGGUAAAAAGCAGACAGCUAGGAGGAAAGGACAUUUUGAGGUGCCUGCCAAGAAGGAUACAUCAAGAAUUGGGACAGUGACCUGUAGCAAUUGCAACAAGCAAGGUCACAGAUAUACCACAUGUGGUGAUCCACUGAAACCCAAACUGCAGAUGAGGAAGAAUAAUCACCAAGAGAAUAGGUCAGUCUACUCUUCAUCUACCAGAGAUACUACAGAAGUGGUUGCACCCCCACCACCACCAUCAGCACCAGCCAUAGGGAGGAACAGGCCAGCAACAGUCAUAGCUACUCCAGGACCAGCAAAGAGGAACAAGGCUGCUGCUACUGCUACUCCAGGACCAUCAAAGAGGAACAAGGUUGUUGCUUCUGCUACUCCAGCACCUGCCACAUCAGCACCUGCCAAGAAGACCAAAGCAACCAAGAAGACAAGGGCUCCUAGCACAUCUUCACCAGCCAAGAACACAAGGUCAUCCAUUGCCUCUCCAGCAAAGAACACCAGAGCAUCAACAGCUAGCAGAGGAGGGGGACACACAGGUUUCAAUGCUCCAAGGCAAGCUGCUCACUCUGAGAUGGAGAUUGGGUCCAAGAGGGUUAGGAAGCCAACUAGAAAGUGGAAGGCAUAUUUCACUGCUAGUGGUAACUAUUGA
rnacentral:rRNA from 1 species